rnacentral:rRNA from 1 species
UAGCUUGCUAUUUUUAUGAAGAGCGGCGAACGGGUGAGUAACGCGUGGGAAAUCUGCCGAGUAGCGGGGGACAACGUUUGGAAACGAACGCUAAUACCGCAUAACAAUGAGAAUCGCAUGAUUCUUAUUUAAAAGAAGCAAUUGCUUCACUACUUGAUGAUCCCGCGUUGUAUUAGCUAGUUGGUAGUGUAAAGGACUACCAAGGCGAUGAUACAUAGCCGACCUGAGAGGGUGAUCGGCCACACUGGGACUGAGACACGGCCCAGACUCCUACGGGAGGCAGCAGUAGGGAAUCUUCGGCAAUGGGGGCAACCCUGACCGAGCAACGCCGCGUGAGUGAAGAAGGUUUUCGGAUCGUAAAACUCUGUUGUUAGAGAAGAACGUUAAGUAGAGUGGAAAAUUACUUAAGUGACGGUAUCUAACCAGAAAGGGACGGCUAACUACGUGCCAGCAGCCGCGGUAAUACGUAGGUCCCAAGCGUUGUCCGGAUUUAUUGGGCGUAAAGCGAGCGCAGGUGGUUUCUUAAGUCUGAUGUAAAAGGCAGUGGCUCAACCAUUGUGUGCAUUGGAAACUGGGAGACUUGAGUGCAGGAGAGGAGAGUGGAAUUCCAUGG